rnacentral:tRNA from 1 species
AAAAAAAUUCAUAUUACUAGAACAUACUGGUAUUGAAGGAACUAGAUACUGUUCCGAAAUAUCACUUACUCGAACCGUCCUGACCGCGUAGCUCAGUUGGAAGAGCAUUGCGCUAGUAUUCCAAAGGUCGUAGAUUCGAAUCCCACCGUGGCCGGGCAUAUUUUUCAAGCUCGCCCGGUGUGGAUAUGCACUCAGAGUAACAUCGAAAACAUAUUAUUUACCUGAGUACACAACACCAACACAGAAAAAAAUUCAUAUUACUAGAACACAUUGGUAUUGAAGGAACUAGAUACUGUUCCGAAAUAUCACUUACUCGAACCGUCCUGACCGCGUAGCUCAGUUGGAAGAGCAUUGGGCCAGUAUUCCUAAGGUCGUAGGUUCGAAUCCCACCGUGGCCGGGCAUAUUUUUCAAGCUCGCCCGGUGUGGAUAUGCACUCAGAGUAACAUCACAAACAUAUUAUUCACCUGAGUACACAACACCAGCACAGAAAAAAAAAUUCAUAUUACAAGAACACAUUGGUAUUGAAGGAACUAGAUACUGUUCCGAAAUAUCACUUACUCGUACCGUCCUGACCGCGUAGCUCAGUUGGAAGAGCAUUCGGCUGGUAUUCCAAAGGUCGUAGGUUCGAAUCCCACCGUGGCCGGGCAUAUUUUUCAAGCUCGCCCGGUGUGGAUAUGCACUCAGAGUAACAUCACAAACAUAUUAUUCACCUGAGUACACAACACCAGCACAGAAAAAUUUCAUAUUACAAGAACACAUUGGUAUUGAAGGAACUAGAUACUGUUCCGAAAUAUCACUUACUCGAACCGUCCUGACCGCGUAGCUCAGUUGGAAGAGCAUUGGGCUAGUAUUCCAAAGGUCGUAGGUUCGAAUCCCACCGUGGCCGGGCAUAUUUUUCAAGCUCGCCCGGUGCGGAUAUACACUCAGAGUAACACCACAAAUAUCAUAUUCACCUGAGUACACUACACCAACACAGAAAAAAAUUCACAUUUAAUAGAAUACAUUGGUAUCGAAGGAACUAGANNNNNNNNNNNNNNNNNNNNUAUUCACCUGAGUACACAACACCAACACAGAAAAAAUCAUAUUACUAGAAUACAUUGGUAUCGAAGGAACUAGAUUCUGUUCCGAAAUAUCACCUACUCGAACCGUCCUGACCGCGUAGCUCAGUUGGAAGAGCAUUGGGCUAGUAUUCCAAAGGUCGUAGGUUCGAAUCCCACCGUGGCCGGGCAUAUUUUUCAAGCUCGCCCGGUGUGGAUAUGCACUCAGAG